AUGCUUACCUGGCAUGGGAGAUACCAUGAUCACGAAGGUGGUUUUCGCAGGGUGAGGCUUAUCCACUGCACUCUGGAUGUGUUGACCCCUGCAAUUUCCCCACACAAGAGAAACUCAGUUGCAUAAUUUAUGGUAAUGGGACUGCAUCAUGCUCAUA